rnacentral:rRNA from 1 species
CCUACGGGGGGCAGCAGUGAGGAAUAUUGGUCAAUGGGCGGGAGCCUGAACCAGCCAAGUCGCGUGAAGGAAGAAGGUACUUAGUAUUGUAAACCUCUUUUGUCGGGGAGCAAAAGCCGGACGUGUCCGGCUGUGAGAGUACCCGAAGAAAAAGCAUCGGCUAACUCCGUGCCAGCAGCCGCGGUAAUACGGAGGAUGCGAGCGUUAUCCGGAUUUAUUGGGUUUAAAGGGUGCGCAGGCGGAUUUUUAAGUCAGCGGUCAAAUCGUGGGGCUCAACCCCAUCCAGCCGUUGAAACUUGGGAUCU